AUGUCACGGAUUUGAGCGGCGGAUCGUCAAUGUCAUCGAUUUUUGUUUUUUUCGCUGCGUAUAUCAAUUUAAUCCAUAACCCGGCAAGGGCGUUAUUUUCGAUACGGAACACUGACGGUGACGAGUUCAUCUCGGAUAAGUGAAUAGCGUCAUCUUAUCAGUAAAUCGUGAAGAAGCUCGCACGGUGUAAGCGCCGUCUCAUCAGUUAAGGAUUAACGCUCCAAUACGGAUGAAAAGUGACGCUUCGUAGACUUCCAACAUCUUGAAAUUACCGAUAACUAAAUAUAGUGGGAAAAAAAAACGACUUUACGUCUUCCCGAGUGAGCACCUUUGACGUGGAAAUUUAAGUGAUUAUCGGAAUAUCGAUCGGUGAUUUCCGCGGCUCCGAGGAAGAAGAUUCACGCGCUCUUCAUCGGAAGCUGCACGUACACCGGGUUGUCCGUCGACAGGCGGAAUAUGGAGAUAUUUCAGCCACGUGCAGUUUUUAUUUACACUGCUUGAUGCAUUUUAAAAUUAUUCGUAUGACUGAGUGUUGUUUCGCUCUUUCGAGUAUAAGACGUUGGACGUUGGACAAUAGAAUCAGCGUGACCUCUCAACCGCGAUAACGCGCUCACGUAGAACGUCUCGGGGCGUUAAAAUGUGAAUCACGCGUAAUUGCCGAAAUGUGCGAUUUCUGAUUUGAUUGUGAAAGCCCGAAAGUAUCCUCGAAGAAGCCGAGACGCGCAUGUCAUAGAAUAACGCUGUAAAGUUUAAAUUAAAAAUCGGGCACUUUCUUAGAUUUCCUUAGAAAUAUGAUAAAAUAAAAUAAGUGGUUUUUCAUCGUUUA